AACGAACGCUGGCGGCAUGCCUAACACAUGCAAGUCGAACGAGACCUUCGGGUCUAGUGGCGCACGGGUGCGUAACACGUGGGAAUCUGCCCUUUGCUUCGGAAUAACAGUUAGAAAUGACUGCUAAUACCGGAUGAUGUCGAAAGACCAAAGAUUUAUCGGCAAAGGAUGAGCCCGCGUAGGAUUAGGUAGUUGGUGGGGUAAAGGCCUACCAAGCCGACGAUCCUUAGCUGGUCUGAGAGGAUGAUCAGCCACACUGGGACUGAGACACGGCCCAGACUGCUACGGGAGGCAGCAGUGGGGAAUAUUGGACAAUGGGCGAAAGCCUGAUCCAGCAAUGCCGCGUGAGUGAUGAAGGCCUUAGGGUUGUAAAGCUCUUUUACCAGGGAUGAUAAUGACAGUACCUGGAGAAUAAGCUCCGGCUAACUCCGUG
rnacentral:rRNA from 1 species